UACGUAGGUGGCAAGCGUUGUCCGGAAUUAUUGAGCGUAAAGCGCGCGCAGGUGGUUCUUUAAGUCUGAUGUGAAAGCCCACGGCUCAACCGUGGAGGGUCAUUGGAAACUGGGGAACUUGAGUGCAGAAGAGGAAAGUGGAAUUCCACGUGUAGCGGUGAAAUGCGUAGAGAUGUGGAGGAACACCAGUGGCGAAGGCGACUUUCUGGUCUGUAACUGACACUGAGGCGCGAAAGCGUGGGGAGCAAACAGG
rnacentral:rRNA from 1 species